UCUUACAGAUGAGCAAAGAAAGUGGUUUUAUAAGAUGGAAACUACCCCUGCUGAAGAUGCUGUGAA
rnacentral:pre_miRNA from 1 species